CUUCGAGGGACGCACCUUGAGACUCCUGGAAAGAGUUUCAAUUUCCCGGAGAGGGAGGGGUCACUUCCGGUGCGCCCCAGGGCAUCAUGGGAGGAGCCCGGUGGAGGGAAGGAAAGGCCGGAAGUGGCCCGCCGCCAUUGUUCGGACUUGGCGGAGGCGACGGCCGGGAGAUGCCGAAGACCCAGAAGGCCAGCUUUGAAGAAAACCUGGAAAAAAGAGAAGCCCAAGUCAUCCCCAUAGUACAGAAGACACAGUGGUGGUGAAAGGAAUGGGUCAGAUGAAUGCUUGUGGGAAGUUGGCUGCUCCAGGAGCCCCGGGGAGUGCUGAGAUGUCCUUCCAAACAAGGACCCAAACAGCUGAAGGGCUCCAGUUACCUAUGAGGAGCUCUCAGGGCUCAAGAAGUGGAACCAGUCUUUGUCCCAAUGCAGUCUCUUCCUGGCAAAGUGGAUGAGAAGGUUACUCGGUGAGCACAGAACAGAAGUUGGAUUUUCUUAUGUGCUUUUGCUAUCAAGUUCUGGUGAUCGGACGGCCUGGCCUCCAUUUCUUUAAGGCUAUUUUAACGUACAGGGUCCAGAUCAAUCGUGCAAAGCCAGAGUGCCUUUUGGACCUUCCGGUGAUGAAUUGACAGAUGCUCACUGCCCCAUUUUCCCUUUGCAAAUAUUCGUGCAGACCACCGCCCUGCCAUUCACACCCGUUGCCACAACAGUUUCUAAGUGCUGGACAGGUUCACGUGGAGCUUGGCUGCUUGCAUACUCAAGGCAGGCACUUUAAUCUCCACGGUCAGGUCACUCCGAAGCACUCUGCAGGAUGGGUUACUUCUGGAAAGCUGUCCUGUCGACAGCUAAUCCCAUCCUUCUUGCGGGCUUGACUUUCAGCGAUGGCAUCUGCUGAGCUUUG